rnacentral:rRNA from 1 species
UUGUUCCUACGGGGGGCAGCAGUGGGGAAUAUUGCACAAUGGAGGGAACUCUGAUGCAGCGACGCCGCGUGAGUGAAGAAGUAAUUCGUUAUGUAAAGCUCUAUCAGCAGGGAAGAAAAUGACGGUACCUGACUAAGAAGCCCCGGCUAAAUACGUGCCAGCAGCCGCGGUAAUACGUAUGGGGCAAGCGUUAUCCGGAUUUACUGGGUGUAAAGGGAGCGUAGGCGGCCUGGCAAGCCUGAUGUGAAAUACCGGGGCCCAACCCCGGGGCUGCAUUGGGAACUGCCAGGCUGGAGGGCCGGAGG